rnacentral:rRNA from 1 species
UACUAGAGUAGCACUCGCAUAUCAAUAAGCGGAGGAAAAGAAACUAACAAGGAUUCCCCUAGUAACGGCGAGUGAAGCGGGAAGAGCUCAAAUUUGAAAUCUUAAAGGGUUUCCCUUUACGAAUUGUAGUUUAAAGAAGUGUUUUCUGUUGAGGUUUUGGUAAAAGUUCUUUGGAAUAGGACAUCAUAGAGGGUGAGAAUCCCGUAUUUGACCUUUACUUUCAACUUUGUGAUACACUUUCAAAGAGUCUGAUUGUUUGGGAAUGCAGUCCAAAAUGGGUGGUAAAUUUCAUCUAAAGCUAAAUAUUGGCGAGAGACCGAUAGCGAACGAAGUACCGUGAGGGAAAGAUGAAAAGAACUUUGAAAAGAGAGUUAAACAGUACGUGAAAUUGUCAAAAGGGAAGCGUUUGACACCAGUGUUGUUUUUCUGAAAAUCAAUUAAAGAACUGUUUAUGCUAAGUUGUUUAGACUUUAUCAGCUAACUGUUUAGUUUUGAGCUUUUCUUUAAUGCACUUUUCAGUUAACAAGUCAACAUCAAUUUCUUUUGCUAUAAAAAAGCUUGAGGAAGGUGGCUUGAGAUUCGUCUUAAGUGUUUAUAGCCUCUUGCCUAUGCAGUCGGAGAGAUUGAGGUCUGCAGCGUAGAUCCUUCGGGGCUAAAUGCAUUUGUGCUAAGUUAUAAGCAUUUUAUAGACAACUUGUUGACUAUGAUUUGUCUUGUAGCUUACUCGCUUAUGUUAUUUUACCUACGCUUAGGAUGUUGAUAUCGCGCUCUCACUG